GACGAACGCUGGCGGCGUGCUUAACACAUGCAAGUCGAACGGAAAGGCCCUGCUUUUGUGGGGUGCUCGAGUGGCGAACGGGUGAGUAACACGUGAGUAACCUGCCCUUGACUUUGGGAUAACUUCAGGAAACUGGGGCUAAUACCGGAUAGGAGCUCCUGCUGCAUGGUGGGGGUUGGAAAGUUUCGGCGGUUGGGGAUGGACUCGCAGCUUAUCAGCUUGUUGGUGGGGUAGUGGCUUACCAAGGCUUUGACGGGUAGCCGGCCUGAGAGGGUGACCGGCCACAUUGGGACUGAGAUACGGCCCAGACUCCUACGGGAAGCAGCAGUGGGGAAUAUUGCACAAUGGGCGGAAGCCUGAUGCAGCAACGCCGCGUGCGGGAUGACGGCCUUCGGGUUGUAAACCGCUUUCGCCUGUGACGAAGCGUGAGUGACGGUAAUGGGUAAAGAAGCACCGGCUAACUACGUG
rnacentral:rRNA from 1 species